rnacentral:rRNA from 1 species
CACGUAGGGUGCGAGCGUUGUCCGGAAUUAUUGGGCGUAAAGAGCUCGUAGGCGGUGUGUCGCGUCGGCCGUGAAAACCUGCAGCUUAACUGUGGGCGUGCGGUCGAUACGGGCAUCACUGGAGUUCGGCAGGGGAGACUGGAAUUCCAGGUGUAGCGGUGAAAUGCGUAGAUAUCUGGAGGAACACCCGUGGUGCAGACGGCUUGCUGGACCAUUACUGACGCUGAGGCACGAAAGCGUGGGUAGCAAACAGG